rnacentral:rRNA from 1 species
CCUACGGGUGGCAGCAGUCGAGAAUCAUUCACAAUGGGGGAAACCCUGAUGGUGCGACGCCGCGUGGGGGAAUGAAGGUCUUCGGAUUGUAAACCCCUGUCAUGUGGGAGCAAAUUAAAAAGAUAGUACCACAAGAGGAAGAGACGGCUAACUCUGUGCCAGCAGCCGCGGUAAUACAGAGGUCUCAAGCGUUGUUCGGAAUCACUGGGCGUAAAGCGUGCGUAGGCUGUUUCGUAGGUCGUGUGUGAAAGGCGAGGGCUCAACCCGCGGAUGGCACAUGAUACUGCGAGACUAGAGUAAUGGAGGGGUAACCGGAAGUCGGGGGGUAGCAGUGAAAUGCGUAGAUAUCG